rnacentral:rRNA from 1 species
CCUACGGGGGGCUGCAGUGGGGAAUAGUGCACAAUGGGGGAAACCCUGAUGCAGCGACGCCGCGUGAGUGAAGAAGUAAUUCGGGAUGUAAAGCUCUAUCAGCAGGGAAGAAAAUGACGGUACCUGAGUAAGAAGCCCCGGCGAACGACGUGCCAGCAGCCGCGGUAAUACGUAGGGGGCAAGCGUUAUCCGGAUUUACUGGGUGUACAGGGAGCGUAGACGGCAGUGCAAGUCUGGAGUGAAAGGCGGGGGCUCAACCCCCGGACUGCUCUGGAAACUGUCCGGCUGGCGGGCAGGAGCGGUCAGUGGACUUCCUCGUGUAGCGGUUACAUGCGUAGCUAUUA